UAGGGAAUCUUCCGCCAUGGACGCAAGUCUGACGGAGCAACGCCGCGUGAGUGAAGAAGGAUUUCGGUUCGUAAAACUCUGUUGUUAGAGAAGAACAGCGCAUAGAGUAACUGUUAUGCGUGUGACGGUAUCUAACCAGAAAGCCACGGCUAACUACGUGCCAGCAGCCGCGGUAAUACGUAGGUGGCAAGCGUUGUCCGGAUUUAUUGGGCGUAAAGCGAGCGCAGGCGGUCAAUUAAGUCUGAUGUGAAAGCCCCCGGCUCAACCGGGGAGGGUCAUUGGAAACUGGUUGACUUGAGUGCAGAAGAGGAGAGUGGAAUUCCAUGUGUAGCGGUGAAGUGCGUAGAUAUAUGGAGGAACACCAGUGGCGAAGGCGACUCUCUGGUCUGUAACUGACGCUGAGGCUCGAAAGCGUGGGUAGCAAACAGG
rnacentral:rRNA from 1 species